CCUGAAGAAACUUGUUUGUAUCCCCAAAAGAAUAUAUGCACAAUUUUUCUUUAAGAACAAUCAAUUUAUCCAUUCCUCGAAAUCCAAAGUUCUCUUCUUCUUUUUUUUUUCUAACAGGAGGUCAUUAGUGUCAAAAGAACAGUCUCUUAUAAUAGUGAUUCCCUUCCAAAGUUGAUGGCUUGCCCUCACCUUGCAAGAGUAGCAGCCUUGUUAAAGAGUGCACAUUCCAACUGGUCUCAAGCUACAAUUAACUCUCCAAUCAUGACCAUUGUUGACUUAGUCAACGUUUGCAACAAUUUGAUUUAGGGUGAAAUGCUUACUCUUGUUGCUCUUUAUCAGUUGGAUUAGAACACGUGAAUCCAUCAAAAACAAAUGAUCCUAGAUUUUAUUUUUUUUUUAAUAAAUUUUUGGUGAUCUGUUAAGACCAUUUUAUUAUUAAAAGAAGGCCCAAAUGCCCACAUUACAUACUACCGGAUCAAAUACCCGGUCCAAUAGACAAUGGAGCUAAAAAGACUCCCUUUGUCUUAUAUAGAAAUGAUUUAGGAAAAUUUUACAUCAUUUCACCUUUCCCUUAACCAUAAUCCAUUUUCCUUUGAAAUCACGAUGCUUCUUGAGUAUUGCCCGUGGAUCUUCAAGCUUCGACUUCUUUAUUGUUCCAGCUGUAUCGAUGGUGGAUUGUAGUGUCUCUUAAUAUCAGUUUCACUCUCAGGCGGUCUUGUGUUCACUAAUGGCCAGAUAACUAUUUCACCCAGGUUUGAAUUAGAAAAUUCUUUCUCUUUAUCUGGUGGUUGAGGUGCUAGAACACUCCAUAUACCUCCCUUUGGGUGAAGAUUUUUGUUAGGAAGGGGUUUCUUUGUAGCUGUAGUUUGCACAGAUGUACUAACUUCUUCCAGGCUUACUGAUAAAUUCUCUUUUCUGUGCUGUUUAUUUUCUCUGUUGUUGCUACCACUGUUAUGAUUGUAAGUAUGCAUGCUAAUGUGUUGGUUAUUGUUGAACUAUUCUCCUUGUCUUGAUCCUAAUGUGAGGAAUUUGAUCCUUGUCAA